GUCAGUGUGGCCGAGUGGUUAAGGCGAUUGACUCGAACCAUCAUAUUCGUUAUCAAUUCCAUUCGUGGGCACAGGUUCGAAUCCUGUCGCUGACG
rfam:Aspergillus oryzae strain BCC7051 OAory_C02, whole genome shotgun sequence.